rnacentral:lncRNA from 1 species
ACUUCUACAGUGGCAUUGAGUAAUUAUGAGGUAAUCUGAUUUGUUUUUAUUUUAGGAUGUAUGACAAUCCUGCCCACAAUUCUGUUCUUAAUUGCAAGAAUAUUAAAAGAUACAGCAAUAAAUUCUGCAGACAAUCAGGUUCCUCUACCCAUCAGUGCAACUUUUCAAGGCAUUAAAAUUAUUGUGACACUUCCAAUGGCCAAAACUGAGGAAACUCAAAAACAGUGGACAGCUCUAAUUCGUAGCACUUUUGCAUGUAUCCUGGAAUAUUCACAACCAGAAGAUUCUGUGCCCACACCUGAUGAAGUUAGCAUGCUGACAGCAAUUGCACUCUUCCUGUGGUCUGCUGUAGUGAAAUAA